ACGAGACUGCCUCGCGUCUGACGCGGGGAGGAAGGUGGGGACGACGUCAAGUCAGCACGGCGCUUAUGUCGUGGGCCACACACAUCCUACAAUGGCGAAGAACAACGAGAUGCCAGCUCGUAAGAGUAAGCAAAUCUCUGAAAUUUCGCCUCAGUUGGGAUUGGAGUCUGCAACUCGACUCCAUGAACUAGGAAUCGGUAGUAAUCGCGGAUCAGCAGGUCGCGGUGAAUACGUUCUCGGGUCUUGCACACACCGCCCGUCAAGCCAACAAAGUCGAGGGUGCCCGAUACUCCGUCAACGGAAUUAAGGUAAACUCGGCGAUGGGGACUAAGUCGUAACAAGGUAUCCCUACUGGAAGGUGGGGAUGGAUCACCUCCUUU
rnacentral:ncRNA from 1 species